rnacentral:rRNA from 1 species
CCCAUUAAAGUGGUACGCGAGCUGGGUUCAGAACGUCGGGAGACAGUUCGGUCCCUAUCCGGCGCAGGCGUAGGAAAUUUGAGAAGACCUGUCCUUAGUACGAGAGGACCGGGAUGGACGUACCUCUGGUGUACCAGUUGUCCUGCCAAGGGCAUGGCUGGGUAGAUAUGUACGGAAUGGAUAAGCGCUGAAAGCAUCUAAGCGCGAAGCCAACUUCAAGAUAAGAUUUCCCACCGCAAGGGUAAGACCCCAGAAAGACUAUCUGGUUGAUAGGUCGAAGGUGUAAGU